GAUGAACGCUAGCGGCAGGCUUAAUACAUGCAAGUCGAGGGGCAGCAUGACUGUAGCAAUACAGUUGAUGGCGACCGGCAAACGGGUGCGGAACACGUACAGAACCUUCCUUUAAGUGGUGAAUAGCCCAGAGAAAUUUGGAUUAAUACACCGUAACAUAUAGAGUUGGCAUCAAUUUUAUAUUAUAGCUUCGGCGCUUGUUGAUGGGUGUGCGGCUGAUUAGAUAGUUGGCGGGGUAACGGCCCACCAAGUCUACGAUCAGUAGCUGAUGUGAGAGCAUGAUCAGCCACACGGGCACUGAGACACGGGCCCGACUCCUACGGGAGGCAGCAGUAAGGAAUAUUGGACAAUGGACGCAAGUCUGAUCCAGCCAUGCCGCGUGAAGGAUUAAGGUCCUCUGGAUUGUAAACUUCUUUUAUAAGGGACGAAAAAAGGUCUUUCUAGAUCGUCUGACGGUACCUUAUGAAUAAGCACCGGCUAACUCCGUGCCAGCCGCCGCAGUAAGAC
rnacentral:rRNA from 1 species